rnacentral:piRNA from 1 species
AAAGAAAGAAAUCUCCAGUGUACC